CGGCCAGGGAUGUGCUCGCGGCCUAUCAGCUUGUUGGUGGGGUAAUGGCCUACCAAGGCUUCGACGGGUAGCCGGCCUGAGAGGGUGACCGGCCACACUGGGACUGAGACACGGCCCAGACUCCUACGGGAGGCAGCAGUGGGGAAUAUUGGACAAUGGGCGGAAGCCUGAUCCAGCAACGCCGCGUGAGGGAUGACGGCCUUCGGGUUGUAAACCUCUUUCAGUACCGACGAAGCGCCGAUGAUGGUGGUGACGGUAGGUACAGAAGAAGCACCGGCCAACUACGUG
rnacentral:rRNA from 1 species